AACGAACGCUGGCGGCAUGCCUAACACAUGCAAGUCGAACGAGACCUUCGGGUCUAGUGGCGCACGGGUGCGUAACGCGUGGGAACCUGCCCUUAGGUUCGGAAUAACUCCCCGAAAGGGGUGCUAAUACCGGAUAAUGUCUUCGGACCAAAGAUUUAUCGCCUUUGGAUGGGCCCGCGUUGGAUUAGCUAGUUGGUAGGGUAAAAGCCUACCAAGGCGACGAUCCAUAGCUGGUCUGAGAGGAUGAUCAGCCACACUGGGACUGAGACACGGCCCAGACUCCUACGGGAGGCAGCAGUGGGGAAUAUUGGACAAUGGGCGAAAGCCUGAUCCAGCAAUGCUGCGUGAGUGAUGAAGGCCUUAGGGUUGUAAAGCUCUUUUACCCGGGAAGAUAAUGACAGUACCGGGAGAAUAAGCUCCGGCUAACUCCGUG
rnacentral:rRNA from 1 species